AACGAACGCUGGCGGCAUGCCUAACACAUGCAAGUCGAACGAAGCCUUCGGGCUUAGUGGCGCACGGGUGCGUAACGCGUGGGAAUCUGCCCUUGGGUUCGGAAUAUCAGUUAGAAAUGACUGCUAAUACCGGAUGAUGUCUUCGGACCAAAGAUUUAUCGCCCAAGGAUGAGCCCGCGUAGGAUUAGGUAGUUGGUGGGGUAAUGGCCCACCAAGCCGACGAUCCUUAGCUGGUCCGAGAGGAUGAUCAGCCACACUGGGACUGAGACACGGCCCAGACUCCUACGGGAGGCAGCAGUGGGGAAUAUUGGACAAUGGGCGAAAGCCUGAUCCAGCAAUGCCGCGUGAGUGAUGAAGGCCUUAGGGUUGUAAAGCUCUUUUACCAGGAAUGAUAAUGACAGUACCUGGAGAAUAAGCUCCGGCUAACUCCGUGCCAGCCGCCGCAGUAACAC
rnacentral:rRNA from 1 species